rnacentral:lncRNA from 1 species
UCAUUCUUGGAAACCAUCUCUAUCUGAAUCACAAGACCAUAGUAGUUCUGAUAGCACCUAGCUCAAGGUGGGGAUGGGGUGGCCCCUGUACCUUGGAAGAAGUGAGGGAGAAUUUGUCUCCCUCUUCAGCCCACUGUCCACUUUUACUCAGGACUCAGAAUAGUUUUCCCUGUCAGCUUCUGAAUUCGAUUGUUAUCAGGAGAGAGAGAUAAUCAAUUGAGUACCUUCCAUACCCUGGGUGCCACACACUGACUUUUGUAUCUGUUGUUUUGUUUAGUUUUUACAAUCAAGCAGUUGGUUGGAGAAUAUUAUGAUCCUCCUUUUACAGACAAGGAAACUGAAUUUCAAAGAGGUUAAGUAACUUUUCCAAAUCCAUUCCUAGUCUCAGCUAAUAAAUGGCAACUGCUGGGAGUGGAGUAUGGAGUCGUCUCAUUUGAAAAACUGUGAUCUUCACACUUGGUUUUCUCAUACACUUUGGUCACAGGAUCCUUUCAUGCUCUUAAAAGUGAUUGAGCUGUAACCACUAAUGAGUUAUCAGAUUUAUGAUCACCAUUCUUGUCAACUUCCCCAGUCAGACAUCUUGUGCCUUCUCAUGCUAGGACACACCACCACCGAGAAAGCACCCUUGCAAGUAUUAUCCCACCUGGGUAUAAUCGUGCCUGUAAAUGAAACUUGUAAUGUCCAGGAAAUACAGAGGGCAGAGAAAUACGUUAAACAAAACUCCAUCAACGCAAUUAGUCAAACCUAGAAUGUAGAAAACCACACAAACUAUUUCAGCUUUAGGUUUUAUAACCAAAUGAAUUUCAAAGAAAAAAAAUAUCAGUGGGAUGGGAUU